CAUGACCUAUUGCGGGAAGCAUAAAAUCUGGUAGCUUCCAGGACGAGCGAGGGCGACGUUGCCGCAGGAGCCAACUACUAAAGCCGUGGGUCGUCGUGCGAGAGUGUUAAGUGUGAUUUAUCUGCGGAAUUGGACAUGUUGGAUGGCGAGCUAGAGUCUGAAGCUUUAUGCCUGGAACCGAACCAACCGAACUGAAUCCACCCAACCGAGCCCCGGGCGGGUAGGAGGCUCCUCAGCAGCCGCUCUGUUUUUUUUCCCCUUUGGUUUCCAUAAACGCAAUGUGUUCAUUUCUGUCCUCCUCAACUUUCACAUCUACCCCGUUACCUUCACUAAAACCCCUCUGGACACUGCCGCCACAACGUGGACUUUGCAAGGUUGUUUAAUGAAAUGUCGUGUUGCGCUUAUACCAUUCUUGGUAAAAACAAGGACGGAAUCGAGUACUGUAUCACAUUGUAAAUAUUGAACGUUCUGUAACUUAUGUUGAAAAUGUGAAUGGCCAUUCGAAUUUACAUGUCAGUUUGUUUAUUUAAUAUAAUUUGGUACCAUUUAAACUUAAAACCUGUGUUCAGUCUUCAUUCCUAGAGCUGAAUUUAGUUUCUUCUGAUCUAGCCCGGUUAUAUAAUUCAUUGUUUACUUAAUACUUGUACAGUGUUUUACUUAGGUAACAUACAGGCUACAACUGCACCAAACUGAAAUUUAAACACGGAAGUGAAGCUCCACCUCUCUGAAUUCAAACGCUUCAGCAGACAUUUGCUCCAGUGAUGACGACUCACGCAGUACUGGAUAAAAGUAGUCUCGUCUUGUUGGGAGAACCACUUACCAUGGCUUUGAACCUCGGCUUUCCAUGGUUUACCCUUGUUUUUGUCUAUUUCUGCUCACCAUUUUUACCCCGCUUGUGGGUCAAUAGUAACAACACAGUUAUAUGGUUUCCCCAAGAUACAGAACGGGCCGAGGGUCAAACAGGAUGCAUGCACGAGUGCCGUUUAAGGGAUUUAUAGUCAACAGGUCAUUAUUAACUUUCUUUUAUUAUGUCAUCCUCGUUCCCAGAUGUUGGCAUUGUGUGUGAAUGCAUGAAUAUAUAUUCCUUGUUUGAUUCCAACGAGCCCUUUGUUGAACUUUGAGAGAAAAAUGUGUUGGUAUUUAUUGAAAAGAAUACAUCUUAUAACCCCAGGUCAUGAUAAUGUGGCCUUUCUAGUGGUUUUGGCACAAAACCAGGGAUAUGUUUUUGUUUUAAAACUGGGGCGGUGGCUUGACUGGGGUAAUUGUUUGGAGAGAUUACCAUAUUUUUCGGGCUAUUCACCCAUCAAGUGUUUUUAUAUAUUUUUUCACAUAUAUUAGCCGCACCGCAGAAAUAAACCGGUACGAUUCGUAAAUGUUUAUUUAUAUACCUUCAUUUUUUCUGAACGAUGCUUGUAACAUGGCAGUAAAACGGCUAAUCAAACAAAACAGAAGCCAUCGUCAUGGACCCACUGGCUGCAAAAGCUAGCUCUCCAAUCCACCAAACUGACACGAUAAUUCCACGGUAACGUUUUGGUGAAUUAUGAAACGGAAACAAUACAAAAAGAACGCCAUUGUAAGUUAAUAGUACUAACACAGACCCUUGUGUCAUGAUCCGCUACUUCGAUCAUGUCAUAUUCUGGUUUUUGAUUCCGUUUUGUAUCACAUCUGGUUAGUUUGUCAUCCUUAGUUCCUGGUGGCACUUCCUGUUUGUUCCGUUUCCAUAGUUAUGCACUUGUGGCAACUGCCUUUUUUUUUUCACGCACACUUGCUUUGUGAUUAUCACCUCUAUUUAAGCCUGCCCUUUUGUUCAUUCGACCUCCGAUUCUACUUUGCUGUCCGAUGCAACAUGUCACGUCGCUAUCCCCGAUUGUGUUUGGUGUCCGAUGCAACAGGUGACGUCGCUAUCCCCGAUUGUGGUAAGUGACUUUUUGUAUUCGUUAGCUUCCACGCUAUUCCUCUGUUUGCUUCCCUAGCUCACGUGCUAGCGCUUUCAGUUCUUUCUAGCUCCCAUGCUAGUUCUGUUUUAGAGCCUUCUGCAAGUAUUUUCUGUUCAUAGUCUGUUUUUGUAGUGUUAAAUCAUCGUUCCUUACCUUCACGCUGUUUCCAUAUCCGACUGCUUCUUCAAGAGAACAAACCCGCACCACAAUGCCAGCCAAGCGUCACACCUUGUAAACGUGUUAGCAUAUUUGCACAUGCUAAUGACGCAUGAAAACACCCCGACAAAAAUCACACACGGGACGGUUUAGUAACUAUAAAAUGUUAUUGUUAUAUUAUAAAAAAUACAAAUGUUGCCUGGAGUGACGAAUGAAGAAUCCUUUUUAGCAAACACGCUACGGACAUUUGUACUUCCGGUUCAAAGCACGAAACAAAGUACAUUCUCCACCCUCAGCACCAGAGGUGUGUUAUUGUUUGGCGCCAUAUCACAAACAAUAACACACCUUUACAGUGUCCCUGUCGGUGUGUUAGGGAAACUAUUUGUUGAAUACAAAACAUUAUGGUCGUCAGUGGAGAAAAAAAGUGAAUUUAUUAGCCGCACCAUUUUAUAAGCUGCAGGUUUUAAAGCGUAGGGAAAAAAGUAGUCCAGGAAAUACGGUAAAUGCAUGAUUUGGCGUAGUAUGAGUUGUAAAUAAAGUGUUCCAUAAGUAAUUUUUUGUACAAAAUAUCAACAGGAUGUGUGUGUCAUAAUAUAAUAAUAAUAAUAAUAAUAGAUUUUAUUUGUAAAAAAAAAAGCACUUUACGUUGAGCAAACAACCUCAAAGUGCCACAGUGUAAAAAAAAAUAAAUAAUAAUUGUAAAAAGAUCCUAAAAAUAAAUAAAAUAUAAAACUAGAAACAGCCCAAUAGCUAGAACCAGCAUGCAUGUCUAUAAAAAGGCUUUUUUGAAAAGAUGUGUUUUUAAGCCUUUUUUUUUUUAAAGCAUCCACAGUCUGAGGUGCACUCAGGUAGUCAGGGAGAGCGUUCCACAGAGGCUCAUAUC